rnacentral:lncRNA from 1 species
GUUUGGGCUUGACAUAAUUCUAUGCCCAUAGCUCAUCCAGAAUGUUGUAUGAUCGAAGGAUUGAAUUACAUAAUAACUUAUCACUGAAAGGUAUUUUUGAUAUUUUCAUCAAAUUUUAUAUCUUCUGGAUAGUCAUGAUAUGUUGCUAAAUAUCAAUCUUGACUUAUGAACUCACAUGAAUUAAAAGAGUUUAACUCAAAAAUUAAUUAGAAAGAGUUUUGAUUAAUUGGUCAUUUAGACUAAUCUAAUCUAAUCGGAUUGAUUUAAGUCAUGAGCCUG